GAUGAACGCUGGCGGCGUGCCUAAUACAUGCAAGUCGAGCGAACGGACGAGAAGCUUGCUUCUCUGAUGUUAGCGGCGGACGGGUGAGUAACACGUGGAUAACCUACCUAUAAUACUGGGAUAACUUCGGGAAACCGGAGCUAAUACCGGAUAAUAUUUUGAACCGCAUGGUUCAAAAGUGAAAGACGGUCUUUCUGUCACUUAUAGAUGGAUCCGCGCUGCAUUAGCUAGUUGGUAAGGUAACGGCUUACCAAGGCAACGAUGCAUAGCCGACCUGAGAGGGUGAUCGGCCACACUGGAACUGAGACACGGUCCAGACUCCUACGGGAGGCAGCAGUAGGGAAUCUUCCGCAAUGGGCGAAAGCCUGACGGAGCAACGCCGAGUGAGUGAUGAAGGUCUUCGGAUCGUAAAACUCUGUUAUUAGGGAAGAACAUAUGUGUAAGUAACUGUGCACAUCUUGACGGUACCUAAUCAGAAAGCCACGGCUAACUACGUG
rnacentral:rRNA from 1 species